rnacentral:rRNA from 1 species
UACGUAGGUGGCAAGCGUUAUCCGGAUUUACUGGGUGUAAAGGGCGAGUAGGCGGGAUUGCAAGUCAGAUGUGAAAACUAUGGGCUCAACCGAUAGAGUGCAUUUGAAACUGCAGUUCUUGAGUGAUGGAGAGGCAGGCGGAAUUCCCGGUGUAGCGGUGGAAUGCGUAGAUAUCGGGAGGAACACCAGUGGCGAAAGCGGCCUGCUGGACAUUAACUGACGCUGAGGCGCGAAAGCGUGGGGAGCAAACAGG